CUUUUCUAAGAAAAAUUAGGGCAAAAUCAAAAUUUACAAGAACUUAAAUUCCUAAAACGAAAUUUACAAGAAAAAACAUUCCUAAAUUACCCUCAGUGAAAUUUUGGUCCAGGAGGCGAGGGCGUCCCUUUCCAAUCCCUCGGAAACCUCACCACGAAGGUCUAUCCGCAAACUAGCUCCCCGAAAUAGUAAUAAUUUGGCUCCAUAACUUAGCACAAUUCUUUAUGUGGGCGGCCACCACAUAAAGAAAACUAAAAAUACAAGACAUGGAAAAGGGAAUAAUAUAGGCUCUGCUAUCAUCUGUUAUUGUAAUCAAAUGAAGAAAAUCCUUCUUCUAUAUAGAGCCAAUUCCCAAAAUUUACUUCGUUUUCAAUUAAAAAUAAAUAAAAAUUCUUCUAGAACAGGUAAAAGAAACUAUCAAUUCAUCAUAUGCAAAACAUAAUAUCACAAGAAAGCUUCUCGAUUAGUACAAUUCACCUCAAACUAUUCCUUACUUGCGUUAAAAUUUCUCUUUACCCUUUUAAGUUUUCGUAUUCUAAUAUAUAAGAGUAAAGUAGACAUGAAUUGUACCGUAAAAUCAAGUGGGUGGCGCCACCAGGGAGGAGAGGCUUUUGGGCUGCAUUUUUGUGGGCAAGUGAGUAAAGCAGAGUUAUUACUCAUAUGUUGCCCAUUUUUUCAAAAAUUCGGAGCGCGUUUGGUUUUAAAAAAUUCAUAUUGCGUUUGGUUUGCCAAGGUGAUU
rnacentral:lncRNA from 1 species